UGGGGAAUAUUGGACAAUGGGGGCAACCCUGAUCCAGCCAUGCCGCGUGAGUGAUGAAGGCCUUCGGGUUGUAAAGCNCUUUUGGCGGGGGACGAUGAUGACGGUACCCGGCAGAAAUAAGCCCCGGCUAACUUCGUGCCAGCAGCCGCGGUAAGACGAAGGGGGCUAGCGUUGUUCGGAAUUACUGGGCGUAAAGCGAGUGUAGGCGGUUGCCGUAGUCAGGUGUGAAAGCCUUGAGCUCAACUCAAGAAAUGCACUUGAUACUGGGUGACUAGAGGACCGGGAGAGGAUAGUGGAAUUCCCCAGUGUAGUGGUGAAAUACGUAGAGAUUGGGAAGAACACCAGUGGCGAAGGCGGCUAUCUGGACGGUUACUGACGCUAAGACUCGAAAGCGUGGGGAGCAAACAGGGAUUUAGAUACCCUGGUAGUCCACGCCGUAAACGAUGGGUGCUAGACGUUGGCGAGCUUGCUCGUCAGUGUCGCAGCUAACGCGUUAAGCA
rnacentral:rRNA from 1 species